rnacentral:rRNA from 1 species
GCUUAGAGAGGGGUCAAUGUCCUAUCAGCUAGUUGGUAGGGUAAUGGCCUACCAAGGCUAAGACGGGUAGCCGGCUUGAGAGGGUGGUCGGCCACACUGGGACUGAGACACUGCCCAGACUCCUACGGGAGGCUGCAGUCGAGAAUCUUUCGCAAUGCCCGAAAGGGUGACGAAGCGACGCCGCGUGUGGGAAGAAGGCCUUCGGGUUGUAAACCACUGUCGGGAGUUAAGAAAUGCAAGGGUGUUAAUAGCAUCCUUGCUUGACUAAGGCUCCGGAGGAAGCCACGGCUAACUCUGUGCCAGCAGCCGCGGUAAUACAGAGGCGGCAAGCGUUGUUCGGAAUUAUUGGGCGUAAAGAGCACGUAGGCGGCUUUGUAAGUCAGUUGUGAAAGCCUUCUGCUCAACGGAAGAACAGCAUCUGAUACUGCAAGGCUAGAGUGCGGAAGGG